AACGAACGCUGGCGGCAGGCUUAACACAUGCAAGUCGAACGCGUGCAGCAAUGCACGAGUGGCGCACGGGUGAGUAACGCGUGGAUAUCUGCCUUUUGGUUCGGAAUAACCCCGGGAAACUGGGGCUAAUACCGGAUGGUUCCUACGGGAUAAAGAUUUAUCGCCAAAAGAUGAGUCCGCGUCCGAUUAGCUAGUUGGUGAGGUAAUGGCUCACCAAGGCGACGAUCGGUAGCUGGUCUGAGAGGACGAUCAGCCACACUGGGACUGAGACACGGCCCAGACUCCUACGGGAGGCAGCAGUGGGGAAUAUUGGACAAUGGGGGCAACCCUGAUCCAGCCAUGACGCGUGAGUGAUGAAGGCCUUCGGGUUGUAAAGCUCUUUUGGCGGGGACGAUGAUGACGGUACCCGCAGAAUAAGCCCCGGCUAACUUCGUG
rnacentral:rRNA from 1 species